rnacentral:rRNA from 1 species
UGGGGAAUAUUGGACAAUGGGCGAAAGCCUGAUCCAGCCAUGCCGCGUGUGUGAAGAAGGUCUUCGUUUUGUAAAGCACUUUAAGUUGGGAGGAAGGGCAUUAACCUAAUACGUUAGUGUCUUGACGUUACCGACAGAAUAAGCACCGGCUAACUCUUUGCCAGCUGCCGCGGUAAUACAGAGGGUGCAAGCGUUAAUCGGAAUUACUGGGCGUAAAGCGCGCGUAGGUGGUUUGUUAAGUUGAAUGUGAGAUCCCCGAGCUCAAACGGGGAACUGCAUCCAAGACUGGCAAGAUAGAGUAUGGUAGAGGGUAGUGGAAUUUCCUGUGUGGCGGUGAGAUGCGUAGAUAUAGGAAGAAAAACCAGUGGCGAGGGCGACUACCUGGACUGAUACUGACACUGAGGUGAGAGAGCGUGGGGAGCAAACA